rnacentral:rRNA from 1 species
GACGAACGCUGGCGGCGUGCCUAAUACAUGCAAGUCGAACGGUCUUUUCUAUGGAAGCUUGCUUCCACUGAGAAGAUAGUGGCGAACGGGUGAGUAACACGUGGGUAACCUGCCCAUAAGAGGGGGAUAACAUCCGGAAACGGGUGCUAAUACCGCAUAGUUUUCUUGAUUGCAUGAUCGAGAAAGGAAAGACGGCCUUUGUGCUGUCGCUUCUGGAUGGACCCGCGGCGUAUUAGGUAGUUGGGGAGGUAACGGCUCACCAAGACGAUGAUACGUAGCCGACCUGAGAGGGUGAUCGGCCACAUUGGGACUGAGACACGGCCCAAACUCCUACGGGAGGCAGCAGUAGGGAAUCUUCCGCAAUGGACGAAAGUCUGGCGGAGCAACGCCGCGUGAGUGAAGAAGGUUUUCGGAUCGUAAAACUCUGUUGUCAGAGAAGAACAAGUCGGAGAGUAACUGCUCCGGCCUUGACGGUAUCUGACCAGAAAGCCACGGCUAACUACGUGCCAGCAGCCGCGGUAACAC